AGGGGCUGAGGAGUGAAAACUGCAAAUUAGAGAAACUGAACCUGGACUCUUGUGGUCUCACCUCCAAAUGUUCCUCAUCUCUCUCCUCAGUCCUCUCUUCUCCACACUCACAGCUGACUGAACUGACCCUGAGCAUCAACACCCUGAGAGAUUCAGGAGCUCAUCAGCUGUGUGAGGGUCUGAGGACCCCAAACUGCAAAAUAAAGACACUGUGGCUGUGGCGUAAUGAGAUCAGUAAGAGUGAGAGGAAGAACCUGAGGUCACUAAAGAAGGAGCUGAACAGGACUGGACGGCAGGUAGAUAUCGACAUAUGAGAAGACAGGACACGCUGAUCAAGUGACCCCAGUGACGGUGCCCCCUGUCCACUCCCUCUAAAUUCUUCUCUUUAUUCUUUUAUAAUCCCCUCAGUUCUCCUCCACAUUUAAUAAACUCUCCAUGUCUUCUUCUCA